rnacentral:rRNA from 1 species
AUGGUGGCCUGUGGCUACGCAUUAUUCAGCAGAAAUACCUCCGAGGCCAGCCUCUUGCCUUCUGUCAGCGAUCUGGGGGCUCCCAGUUCUGGCAAUCCAUCAUUCAGCUCCUCCCUGUCCUCCGGAUCGGGACCUCGAUCGAGAUUGGUUCCGGCACCGCCACGCUGUUCUGGUUCGAUCGCUGGACUGGUGACUCGCCCCUGGCGGCCCGCUUUCCGAACCUGUUCUCCAUCGCGGUUGUCCCUCAGAUCUCCGUGGCGACCGCCCUUAUUGACUUAG